rnacentral:rRNA from 1 species
GACGAACGCUGGCGGCGUGCUUAACACAUGCAAGUCGAGCGGUAAGGCCCUUUCGGGGGUACACGAGCGGCGAACGGGUGAGUAACACGUGGGUGACCUGCCCUCAGCUCUGGGAUAAGCCUGGGAAACCGGGUCUAAUACUGGAUAUGACUCCAUGACGCAUGUUGUGGGGUGGAAAGCCUUGUGCGGCUGAGGAUGGGCCCGCGGCCUAUCAGCUUGUUGGUGGGGNGAUGGCCUACCAAGCGACGACGGGUAGCCGGCCUGAGAGGGCGACCGGCCACGCUGGGACUGAGACACGGCCCAGACUCCUACGGGAGGCAGCAGUGGGGAAUCUUGCGCAAUGGGCGAAAGCCUGACGCAGCGACGCCGCGUGCGGGAUGAAGGCC